AGUGAAUCCAGUUUUACAGACGAGACCUAGUGUUGUCAAUCUGCUGUCUCACCUUCCUACCUGAACAUCUGAUCUAUGUUCUGGUCCAAAUAGACCCCAACAGACGACGCAACCACAGAAACAAGCAUCACCAUGUCAACCAGAGACAAGGCUACUGAACAACUGAACCAGUUCAAACUGUCACACGCGACCCCAGAACAAUGUACCACGGGUACUGGGGCCCCAAUAGGGCUGAAGACAGCGACCAUGACGGCGGGACCCCUGGGGCCUGUCCUCGUCCAGGACUUUGUGUUUAAUGACGAGAUGGCGCACUUUGACAGGGAGAGGAUCCCAGAGAGGGUGGUCCACGCCAAGGGGGCAGGAGCCUUCGGGUACUUUGAGUGUACUCAUGACAUCACUAAAUACACCAAGGCCAAACCCUUCGAGUCGGUCGGCAAGAAGACGCCUGUGGGUGUUCGAUUCUCCACCGUCGGACCCCGACAUGUUCUGGGACUUCAUCUCUUUGAGGCCGGAAACCACUCACCAGGUGUCCUUCCUGUUCUCAGACCGAGGCACCCCGGACGGUUAUAGAAGAAUGAACGGCUAUGGCAGUCACACGUUUAAACUGGUCAACAAGGACGGCAAACCAGUCUUCUGCAAAUUCCACUUCAAGACUGACCAAGGCAUCCAGAAUCUGUCGGCGGCCGAAGCUAAUCGUUUGUCUGCCGAGGACCCCGACUAUGCCAUCCGGGAUCUGUACAACAAUAUCGAGGACGGGAAAUACCCCUCCUGGACGCUCAAAAUCCAGAUCAUGACGCCGGAACAGGCCGAGACAUACAAGUGGAACCCGUUCGAUGUGACCAAAGUGUGGUCCCAGAAGGACUACCCUCUGAUCGAGGUCGGGAAGAUGGUGCUGAACAGGAACCCCAACAACUACUUCGCUGAGGUGGAACAGAUCGCCUUCUCCCCAGCUCACUUCAUCCCGGGGGUGGAGGCCAGUCCAGACAAGAUGUUACAGGAGGUGCCCCGAACUAUUUCCCGAACAGCUUCUCUGGCCCAAUGGACGACCCGGUGGGCUGCGAGUCGUGCCCCUUUACAACCACUGGAGAGUGCAGACGCUACAACUCGGCGGAUGAAGACAACUUCUCACAAGUCGGCAUAUUCUGGAAUCAGGUACUGAAGCCCGAGGAGAGGGACCGAUUGGUUGAGAACAUUGGAAACCAUCUGAUCAACACCCAGAAGUUUAUCCGCGACCGCGCCGUCAAAAACUUCGGACAGGCGGACCCAGAGUUCGGCCGGAAGUUACAGGCGCACCUCGACUCCGUCAGCAAUGUGAGCAAAAUCAACGUGGUUUUGAAUGGUGUCAAAAUGUCGGAUAAAUAAAACUCCAGUUGUACUAAAGCAAAAGGAAGGAUUUGAAAAAAGUGACUCCUGCUUUUAUUAAUACUAACUUUGGAUAUGGAUGCAUCUGUAUUUCCUUGAAUUGUACAUGUAUUCCAGUAUUCUAAUGCCAUAUUAUUUAAUAGUGGCCACAUUCAGUGCUUUGGUUUGAUGCUUUUCUGCAUAGAUCAUUAGAUAAAAUCUGUACAUUGUACAUUUAUAUGUGUUUGAUAUAAUACGGUACUCGGUUGUUUUCAAAACUUCUUCAAUAAAACAAAAAC
rnacentral:misc_RNA from 1 species